CUGAGUUAGGGUUCCUCGUGAGCCCGACCUCCAACCCUUUGUUAAAACUACUUUGUUGCUUUGGCAGGCCCGUCUCUCGGGACCGCCGGAGGGGUUCAAUCACCUCUGGUCCGCUGCCUGCCAGUAGCCUAUUUAAAUUCUUCUUAACCAUGUCGUCUGAAUCUUUAAUUAAAAUUAAUUA
rnacentral:misc_RNA from 1 species